GCUAGGAUGGCCGAGUUGGUAAAGGCGUUAGACUCAAGAUCUAAUGUGCGUUGCACUUCGUGGGUUCGAUUCCUACUCCUAGCA
rnacentral:tRNA from 1 species